rnacentral:lncRNA from 1 species
AGAUUUACCCAAAAGAUUAGGUAUCUGUGUUUUGAAGAGAUUAAUAAAAUAAAGAUAAAAUAGAAUAAAUGAAUGAGCAUUGAGUGACAUAAUCGAUUAACAACAUUCAACUUUCCAGGAGCGCAAAAGUUUAGUUUCGUGACUCUGAUCAUAAUCAACGAUGGCCUCAUUAAUUGAAAUACGAAUUAAGGGUCUAAGCUCAACGAGAUAAUAUUUUACCAUAUAAUAGAAGUUCUUAGUUUAGGAGAUUGAAAGACAAGAUAGCAAGCUAGUCGUUUAGCGGAAGCAAAAGACAACGUGGAACCCUAGCCUCAGCUCCGUCCGCACCAACCGAUCAACCUGAAAAUAUUUGAAAAUAAUUUGGGCUGAGUACUAGUGUACUCAGUGAACAGGAGUUUGCAAGAUAUUUUAUGAAAUAAUUAAAUAGAGCAGUUUAUCCAAUAUCAUAAUCAUAACUUAGAAGGUUUUUAAAAAAAAUAGAAAUCCUCUUCUAAGCAUGACAAAACAUUUUUCUCAUUAAGUGGCGCGCCAUGUGACGUUCGAUUGUUACUCGCUGCUUAUGAUCCCGGGAAUUAACCACCGUCGGAUCGCUUACCGCCGCUUAAGUGAACCCGGGACGCUACCCAGACGGAACACAUCAUCAUUUGUGCUUUGGAACGUGUCCAGGAGCACCCUUAUAACGCCUGCUUAGCUUUGUUAGUGCCCAAAUGGCGAUCAACCCAUUGAGCAACUAACCUUGUGUACACAAUCCUCAUCUAACGUGUUAGGUCAAAUGAGAAUCUCGAUCGAUGCUUAUGCGAGCAUUAAACAAUACAGAACGCACAUAAAAACAUUUAUAUUGGAUAAACAAGUAACUUUCAUGAAAUAUCAGAGCUUAUAUAACUCAAGAUACAUUUGUACAAUAAAGCCCACCUGGAUAGGCAAAGCCUGAAGAUCAUACACAUAUAAACUUGUCUUGGGAAAGCAGCGCUAACCCACUUGGCCACAAAGCCUACAAGAAAUUAUAUUCUUAAUAGGUAUCGAGGUAUCAUUCUAAUUUAUAAGUAAAUGGAAUCGCUAACUAUUGAUACACUUUGCCCGAUUUAAUAAUCUCUUUGAAUGAAUCCAUAAUCUUUUAAUAUAUAAAAUAAGUUUAAAACUUAUAAAAUAAUUAAUAAUUUAAAAUAAAUUAUAAAACAUUAAUCUUGGGAGAAAAAUUAAUAAUUCUUAUUAAAACAUUUUCAGCAAAAUAAUAGUUCAAGCCCAAGAAGAUAAUUUAAAAACUUGUUAUAAAAUAAAGCAGCCCAAAGUAAUUAAAGUGAAGCCUAAAUGCUUAAAUGUACCUGAGUCCAUUGACAAUUUAAAUCAAACUAGGCUCAAUCCAUUCUUUCAAAUUCCCUUAAUGAAAACCUACACCUACACACAUCACACACACAUACAACCCACGCACACCAGCUCACUCCCUCUCUCUCAGCCGCUCACCCCACCCUUUCUGCGCCCUCCUGCCGCCGCCACCGGACGGCAGCGCCGUCCCCGGAGGCCGGCGGCUCCGCCUCCUUCCUCUAUCCUGUCCGACCGCAACGCCACCCCGCCGUCCCUGUAUCGACAGAGGCGCGCCGAGCCGCCUCCCCUUCCAGUACUGCCGCCGCUGCCCUCUUUCCCUUUCCUCACCUCUAGUCUCCCUCUCACUCUCCCCCACCGCACCCAACAGCGGCGUCCACCCUUCUCCGGCGACCCUCGCCGCCAGCCACCACCCGCUCCUACCCGGCGUCACCUUCACCCUCCUCUCUCCCUCGUUUGGUCAACAGCAGCAGUCCUUCAGCAGCCCAGCUGCGGUCAAGGCCACCGCGCCGCCGCCGAACGGCGGCUUUCGCCUCCCUUCUCUUCCCCUUCUUCUUAUCUCCCUUUCACCCCUCACUUCUCGCCGUCCUCCAUCACCUCUCUCUCGCGCUUUCGGCAGCGGACGGCCAAGGAGGGCCGUCGCUGCUGCUGCUGCUCCGUUCACUCUGCGUCAGCGGCACCAUGCCCCGACUCCAUCUGCCUUGGCCGCGAGCGGCCGGCGGGAUGCUGCCACGCAUGCAGCGCCGGCAGUCGCAGCCUUGACAGCCCGGCGUCGAGCUCGAACCGCCCCACUCCCUCCCUCUCAUCGAUUCCUCGACUCUCACUCACUCACCAGAGGAACAAAGAAAUUGAAUGAAAAGGAAAUUGAAUGGGAGAGAGGAAAUUUUCUUCAUAAAUCGGAGUGUGUGGAUGGGAAAAGUUUGUGGGUGUGGCUGAAGGUGAUGUGGAUGAAGGAAAGCCAAAGCUUUUGAGAAAAAUAAAAUAAAAUCGCCACUGUAGAAUUCUUGGGGAAAAAAGAAAAUGUAUCAAUUCUCGUUGCCCGACUCAACUUCUCACACUUUCCCAUACUGACAUUCAAAUUUUGGGCCACUACUGAUCUUACAAAUCUUGAGGUGAAAGCCCAUAAAAUUAUUCUGUUAAAAAGAGGUUGUUGGGCUUGAGGUUCAUCAAAUAAAUAAAUAGAUAGAUAUAAAUGAAAAAUACUAGUAAGAACCUUCUACUAUAUUUUAGUAUUGG